rnacentral:lncRNA from 1 species
AAGGAAAAGUUUAACAGAGAGGAAAUGCAGUCUGAUCUGCUUUUAACAAGUGCAGUGACCAAGACAUUUUUCAUUUUCCUAUCUCUAAAAAUAAUUAAGUGAACACAGAGAUAUCGCUUCAUAGGACCCAGCGCUAAGGUUGCUGAUGCUGAGAUUGGAAAAAAAAAAUCCUGUUUUUUGAAAAGUUUAUAAACAUUUUCAUCUUGCAUCACAUGGAAUAAUUAGAAAAUUAUAUAUGCAGGUUCUAUUCAGAUAGACUGGCAUUCCCUCUUUUACGGAAAGGAAGGAUGUAUCUACAAGGAAAUAUCCACAACAGUCAUGUGACAAACUGGCAUGGUCAAUGAGAGUUUUAAAAAUCUGUACAACAGAACAUCUAGACAGGCAUUAUUAGCACUAGAAUUGCUGUGCUUUGUUGUUUGGGAAACCACCCUGGGAAGACAAUAUCUUCAGAUGAGUGACAGGCCUUUAUCACCUUCUCCACCCCCUACCAUUUUUCUGGCUGCUUAAGGGACUCCAGCAUUUCUGCUUCAAUGGAUGGCAAAUACCUUUGCAGAACUUGCACAACGUCCUU